AUCCAAUUGACAAGUCCAAAAUAGAACGAAACGCAAGUCCUGGAU
rnacentral:hammerhead_ribozyme from 1 species